rnacentral:rRNA from 1 species
CUAGCUACAGGCUUAACACAUGCAAGUCGAGGGGCAGCAUGGUCUUAGCUUGCUAAGGCCGAUGGCGACCGGCGCACGGGUGAGUAACACGUAUCCAACCUGCCGUCUACUCUUGGACAGCCUUCUGAAAGGAAGAUUAAUACAAGAUGGCAUCAUGAGUCCGCAUGUUCACAUGAUUAAAGGUAUUCCGGUAGACGAUGGGGAUGCGUUCCAUUAGAUAGUAGGCGGGGUAACGGCCCACCUAGUCUUCGAUGGAUAGGGGUUCUGAGAGGAAGGUCCCCCACAUUGGAACUGAGACACGGUCCAAACUCCUACGGGAGGCAGCAGUGAGGAAUAUUGGUCAAUGGGCGCAGGCCUGAACCAGCCAAGUAGCGUGAAGGAUGACUGCCCUAUGGGUUGUAAACUUCUUUUAUAAAGGAAUAAAGUCGGGUAUGUAUACCCGUUUGCAUGUACUUUAUGAAUAAGGAUCGGCUAACUCCGUGCCAGCAGCCGCGGUAAUACGGAGGAUCCGAGCGUUAUCCGGAUUUAUUGGGUUUAAAGGGAGCGUAGAUGGAUGUUUAAGUCAGUUGUGAAAGUUUGCGGCUCAACCGUAAAAUUGCAGUUGAUACUGGAUAUCUUGAGUGCAGUUGAGGCAGGCGGAAUUCGUGGUGUAGCGGUGAAAUGCUUAGAUAUCACGAAGAACUCCGAUUGCGAAGGCAGCCUGCUAAGCUG